GGGGGCAUAGCUCAGUUGGUAGAGCAGCGGAUUCUUAAUCCGCCGGCCGAAGGUUCGAGUCCUUCUGCCCUCA
rnacentral:tRNA from 1 species